UGGGGAAUAUUGGACAAUGGGCGAAAGCCUGAUCCAGCCAUGCCGCGUGUGUGAAGAAGGUCUUCGGAUUGUAACGCACUUUAAGUUGGGAGGAAGGGCAGUAAGCGAAUACCUUGCUGUUUUGACGUUACCGACAGAAUAAGCACCGGCUAACUCUGUGCCAGCAGCCGCGGUAAUACAGAGGGUGCAAGCGUUAAUCGGAAUUACUGGGCGUAAAGCGCGCGUAGGUGGUUCGUUAAGUUGAAUGUGAAAGCCCCGGGCUCAACCUGGGAACUGCAUCCAAAACUGGCGAGCUAGAGUAGGGCAGAGGGUGGUGGAAUUUCCUGUGUAGCGGUGAAAUGCGUAGAUAUAGGAAGGAACACCAGUGGCGAAGGCGACCACCUGGGCUCAUACUGACACUGAGGUGCGAAAGCGUGGGGAGCAAACAGG
rnacentral:rRNA from 1 species